GAUGAACGCUGGCGGCGUGCCUAAUACAUGCAAGUCGAGCGAACGGACGAGAAGCUUGCUUCUCUGAUGUUAGCGGCUGACGGGUGAGUAACACGUGGAUAACCUACCUAUAAGACUGGGAUAACUUCGGGAAACCGGAGCUACUACCGGAUAAUAUUUUGAACCGCAUGGUUCAAAAGUUAAAGACGGUCUUGCUGUCACUUAUAGAUGGAUCCGCGCUGCAUUAGCUAGUUGGUAAGGUAACGGCUUACCAAGGCAACGAUGCAUAGCCGACCUGAGAGGGUGAUCGGCCACACUGGAACUGAGACACGGUCCAGACUCCUACGGGAGGCAGCAGUAGGGAAUCUUCCGCAAUGGGCGAAAGCCUGACGGAGCAACGCCGCGUGAGUGAUGAAGGUCUUCGGAUCGUAAAACUCUGUUAUUAGGGAAGAACAGAUGUGUAAGUAACUGUGCACAUCUUGACGGUACCUAAUCAGAAAGCCACGGCUAACUACGUG
rnacentral:rRNA from 1 species